rnacentral:ncRNA from 1 species
UACAAAGAUAAAAACACAGCUCGUGGCUUUUGUCAUGAAGAUCCGGUUGGUAGUCCGGACGGAAAAUGAGUACCCAUCUCUUUUUCUAAGUAGCCCUCCUCCUUGGUCGUCCCUUCUUUGUGAAACA